UACAGAGGUCUCAAGCGUUUGUUCGGAUUCAUUGGGCGUAAAGGGUGCGUAGGCGGCGGGGCAAGUCUGAUGUGAAAUCCCCGGGGCUCAACCCCGGAACUGCAUUGGAUACUGCCUUGCUCGAGUACUGGAGAGGGAACUGGAAUUUACGGUGUAGCAGUGAAAUGCGUAGAUAUCGUAAGGAAGACCAGUGGCGAAGGCGGGGUCUCUGGACAGUUCCUGACGCUGAAGCACGAAGGCCAGGGGAGCAAACGGGG
rnacentral:rRNA from 1 species